rnacentral:lncRNA from 1 species
AUGGCACCAAAACACACAGACCAGCCAUGGGAAGUCAGCCGGGAGGGGCAGGAAAGGCCUGCUUUCCACAUGCCCUCUGCUACUCCACACCCCACGCCGCAACCUGACCUUGUGUCCUUCCGCCUUGCCUGCGUUUUCCCAUGCCAUGCAUCUGUGUGUGUCCAUGGGCACCCAGGCAGGAGCUGUGUGCUCUCAAGUGAGUCUCUCAGCCUCUCUGAACCUCCAGGUUAUAGGUUUCCAGGUGCAUGCAUAUUCUCCUGGUCACAGGGUGGUCUGUCUUGCUCCCAUAGGACACAGGAAUGGCCUCACAGAAUGACUACUGUUACCCUACACUCCAAGAGGAAAAGAGAAACAACCCAGGUUCUGAUUUUCAAUUUCUCUACAAAAUUUGUCUCCAAUGCCUUCCCCAUGGGUUGCUAAGAAGGUAAUCUAGGACCUGGAAUGCUCUCUCCCCUUCUCCACGGAGUGGGAAAGGAGAUGGACUGAAAGCCUGGAAUAGAACCCAAAAGUGGCUGCUUGUGGAGGUAUCUCCAAGUCCGCGGUUGCUGGAACAGGAGCAGGCUCCAUUAGCAAAGAAGAUUGCAGGGAAUGGCUCUUGGAUAGGCAACGAGAUUGUCUUCCUCAGGAAGAAUUUCUGGAGCCCGCAUGAAUCUUUCUAUCCCUCUGAGCAUAACUCAGGGCUUACAGAAACACCUAACCACACACAGCACUAGGAUAAAUAAUGUUCGAGACACCACAGUCACACCAAGAAAGGAAUCUGUUCAAUCAGGGAAGGGCAGGGCUUGGGGCUGAAUAGCAGAGUGGACAGACACAGUGCCCUUAAUGGAACUAGACUCUUUGUCCUGGGCUGGAAACCGGUCAGAGACACCCUCACAGAACCCGAAAUGAGGGCUGCCAGGUGUGUAGGAGCUCACCAGACAAACUGCUUUGGAGGUGAGGGAUUCUAGCCUCUGCAAAGCUCUAUUUGUGCAGGUGAACAAGUGGCUCUGUAUUCUUCAAGAUUACAGCUAAUGGGUAGGAGGCCGCAUUUGAGACGAAGCCAGAUCAUUCAGGGUUCUGGAAUUUGGAUGAUGGGGGUGCAGUGAGAAGUUUUCACCAGAGAUUAGCUUAAAUAAAUACCUUUAAAUGAUUAUGGUGACAACAUGAAGGAAUCUCAAAAACAUUUUGCUGAGGGGAAGAAUGCAAACUCUAGGACUCCAUGUACAUAAAGUUCUAUGGACAAGGCAAAAGUCAUCUAUGGAAGAAAUCAGAGGAGAGAUUCACCCAUGGGGAAGGGACUGACCUGAAAGGUCUGGAGGAAUGUUAAGGGAUGAUGGAAACUCCCUCCAUCUUCUUUGGAGCAGUGGCUAUGUGGACAUAAUGUAUUUAUUGAA